rnacentral:rRNA from 1 species
UUAAUGAGAGUUUGAUCCUGGCUCAGGACGAACGCUGGCGGCGUGCCUAAUACAUGCAAGUAGAACGCUGAGGUUUGGUGUUUACACUAGACUGAUGAGUUGCGAACGGGUGAGUAACGCGUAGGUAACCUGCCUCAUAGCGGGGGAUAACUAUUGGAAACGAUAGCUAAUACCGCAUAAGAGUAAUUAUACACAUGUUAGUUAUUUAAAAGGAGCAAUUGCUUCACUGUGAGAUGGACCUGCGUUGUAUUAGCUAGUUGGUGAGGUAAAGGCUCACCAAGGCGACGAUACAUAGCCGACCUGAGAGGGUGAUCGGCCACACUGGGACUGAGACACGGCCCAGACUCCUACGGGAGGCAGCAGUAGGGAAUCUUCGGCAAUGGACGGAAGUCUGACCGAGCAACGCCGCGUGAGUGAAGAAGGUUUUCGGAUCGUAAAGCUCUGUUGUUAGAGAAGAACGUUGGUAGGAGUGGAAAAUCUACCAAGUGACGGUAACUAACCAGAAAGGGACGGCUAACUACGUGCCAGCAGCCGCGGUAAUACGUAGGUCCCGAGCGUUGUCCGGAUUUAUUGGGCGUAAAGCGAGCGCAGGCGGUUCUUUAAGUCUGAAGUUA